rnacentral:lncRNA from 1 species
AACAGGGACUAUCACAGGCCACCCACAGACAAAGUCCUUCCACAGGUCACAGGAGCCACAACUGCCCAGCCCAACCCUGGGGAUCCAUCCUGUGGCCAAGGAGUACUGGUUCAAAACCACCUGUGUAACCCUGUUUCUUUUGUCUCUCUUUGCCUCCUGAGUGUACUGUAACCUGGCACAGCACACACAGCCCCACUGCUACGAAACCCCCAGUACACUCAAGACGUUCGAAGGCUGUUAUUUAGGUUGUGGCACAAGCAGGUGUUGGACCACAGUCAUCGGGCCUUUUGCUUUCUAAGAAACUCCCAAACCGACGUCCAGAGUGCCUGUGCCUUUCACCUCCCACCAGCAAAGCCCAUCCUUUUGAGUACCUGGGAGUCACCUCUGUGCUUCAGCCAGUGCUGCACGUGUAGCAAUGCCACAGUGUGCCUGCCGCGACAGGGUCCGUGACAGCUGGACGGGGACAUCCUCUCUGGAUACAGGCCAGAUGAGUCCAACGCUCAGGGGGCUGAGGCAGGAGGGUCAGCCUGAGCUACAUGGCAAGUUUGAGAGCAGCCUGCAACAUAGUGAGACGGACAGAAGGAACGAGAGGAAGAAAGGGAGAAAGGAGAGGCGUGACUCCUCAACAUUUGUCAGAGAGAUGUCCACAGAUGGGCCCGGGAGAGGGGUCAGAACCUGAGAGAAAUGGGCUGAGCAGAGGACCUGUCACAGGCCACAGAGGAAGAGGAGGCCACUGUUGGACCUUGUUCCCAGAUUCGAUUAGUGACGAUCCCUUGAAGCACGACACAGUCAUGAGUACUCACUGGAGAACUUUAUUUUCUGGCCGGGACCCAUGUGCACUCCAACCAAGCCGGAGGACAAAAGGCCCCAACUGAAAUGAGGACUGCAUAUUUAAAGGGAAAAACUACAGAAAAAGUCCCUCCUCCCAUUCCCCCGGGUAACGCUGUGUUGCAGAUCACCUGAAGCACAGUUUGCUUGUUUUACCUUGAAGUUAUAUGCAUCGGUUAGGGGUGGGGUUUUCUCCCAGGAGACAGAGUGCAGCUGGAAGUCACAUAUUUGCAAAAUGGAGGACAAUGUUCUCAACAUGGCGCUGGUAUUGCUAAGCUGCUGAGUUGGGUCUCACAGCCACCAAACAGAUGGACCAGAAAGGCUUGGCCAAGUGCUGAGCAGUUCUGCGGGGCCACCUGGUUGUCCACUACUAUGAGCUGAGGGCCACACAAGGGUCCUUGCACCCACUUGCAAACCCCAAGGCUCCACGGCUGCUGACAAGGAAAACUGUGGACCGUGCUGCAGACAGAGCCCUGUGGCAACAGGGGUCCCAGGUGAGGAAGGCACGAGUGAUCUGGGCUGUCACAGCAACAGUCAGGACUGUCACCGCUGGCAGGCAGAGCUUCCAGACCAGUCACCAGGACACCAGGCUGCAUUCCUGCGAAUCUGACUAAAGGGAACAGGUGGCUUCCUGGCAGGAAGCCUGGCUUUUGUCUCGAUUUUAUCUCCACCACUGCACUGAGUUGGUGUCAUCAUGGCUCUCCAGGGUGUCCACACUGGUCACUGUCACAUCCUCUGAGAACAGAGUUCUCCUUCCUCAUUGUGGCUUUUGCCCUGUCUGUCUCAGUGAGGACCCUGGCCGGUGCCAAAGAGGUGAGGCCUCGCCCUAACCUUAGAAGAAAUGCAGCCAGUCUCUUCAUAAAGUGAGGCACUGGCUCGGGACACGGGAUGUACACAUUCUACCACAUCAAGAGUCUAUCCUAGGGCCGGGGAUUUAGCUCAGUGAUUCCACCACCUGCCUCACAAGAGCAAGGUCUCGAGUUCGAUCCCUGGCACCAAAAAAAAAAAAAAGGGUAUAUCCUCAGCUGGGCAUGGUGCUGCACACCUAUAAUCCCAGCACUCUCGGGAGGCUGAGGUGG